rnacentral:rRNA from 1 species
UUGUUGAGCGGAAGCUUGAGGCCAACCGGUGAAUAACGCGUGUGCAACCUUUCCUGUACUGAGUGACAACAACGUGGAGGCGUUAAUAAUACCUAAUAUAUUCCUUUUAAAGGCAUCUUUAAAUGGUCAUAGUUUUAUCAGUACAGGAUGGGCCCGCGUCCGAUUAAUUAGUUGGUGGGGUAACGGCCCACCAAGGCGACGAUCAGUAGCCGACCUGAGAGGGUGAUCGGCCACACUGGAACUGAGACACGGUCCAGACUCCUACGGGAGGCAGCAGUGGGGAAUAUUACACAAUGGGCGAAAGCCUGAUGCAGCAACGCCGCGUGAGCGAUGAAGGCCUUCGGGUAGUAAAGCUCUGUCGUAAGGGAAGAAAUUUGACGGUACCUUGGGAGGAAGCCCCGGCUAACUACGUGCCAGCAGCCGCGGUAAUACGUAGGGGGCAAGCGUUAUCCGGAAUCACUGGGCGUAAAGGGUGCGUAGGCGGUCUUACAAGUCAGGGGUGAAAGGCUACGGCUCAACCGUAGUAAGCCUUUGAAACUGUAGGACUUGAGUGCAGGAGAGGAAAGUGGAAUUCCUAGUGUAGCGGUGAAAUGCGUAGAUAUUAGGAGGAACACCAGUGGCGAAGGCGACUUUCUGGACUGUAACUGACGCUGAGGCACGAAAGUGUGGGGAGCAAACAGGAUUAGAUACCCUGGUAGUCCACACCGUAAAGGAUGAGUGCUAGGUGUUGGGGGUCAAACCUCAGUGCCGCAGCUAACGCAUUAAGCACUCCGCCUGGGGAGUA